AAGAAAGUCAUAGAGGAUAUGGGGUUGGCUUGAAACUAGCUUUUGAGGGUUCAAUUCCUUCCUUUCUUG
rnacentral:tRNA from 1 species